AUAGGGCUUUAAAGACUUAUUAUAUAACCGGUGGGAAGCGUUCCGGCAAAAAUGGCUCAACAACUUGGGUAUAUCCUAGUUGUGCUAAGCAACAAGGGCCAACAGAGUGCGGAUAUUACAUUAUCCGUUAUAUGUUUGAGAUUAUUGAGAGCGGAUGUAUUACAAAAUUUGAUGAGAUUUUUGAUAAUGAUUG